CGACAGUGAACCAGGCAACUUCUUUCUUGUCAGUUUUGAUUUUCUUUUAGCUCUUGGGGUUAGUAUAAAUCUGUACUUUUUAGACACUGGAGAAGGAUUAUCUCGAAUGGAAAUGAAAGUAGUUGGUGGCUAAUUUUUCCUUUCUUUUAAUCUAGUGUGGAAGAACCAGGUGGCUGAGACUUCGUGUGAACACGUUCUCCUGAGUUUGAUACAAGGCUGCGCAUCCCAGGCAACGCGUGAUUAUUGAGUGCUCCGAGAGAUGGGCCUGAUAUCGACGCUUCCGUAGAACUGGGGCACCACAAAUAAGACCACGAGGAUGCUUCAGAGACAGGUGUAAAUGUCUGUGCCUUGUCUCGAAUUCUCCCAGAUACACGAUACUACAUUGCAAAGUUUAUGCAAGCCUGGCAACUGAACACAGAUUGCCUGAAUUGCAAAGUGUUGCUUCAGUGUGAACACCUCCAUCCUGUCUAUUUAAGAGCUCGUUUCCCACGAAGAUGGCUUUGUGUGGAUAGUCC
rnacentral:lncRNA from 1 species